UUUUUUCUCCAUUUUCAACCCUUGACGAAAGACUCUCGACUUUCGACCCUGGGCUUUCGACCCUCGACUUUUGACCCUCGACUUUUGACCCUCGACAUUCGACCCUCGACCUUAUGACCCUCGACAAUCGACUCGUCACACGUGGUUGACUUGUUGUGAAUCCGCUCACUGCCACUGGGUAACUCUAUUUAUAUUGUGAGUGUAUUAUUGUAAGUUUUGCGUUUAAGCGACGAAAUUGGUAAAUAUUGCAUCAUUAUUUUGAACGUUUACAAAAUACAGUAAGUAAACCAUUUAUUUUAUCGUUUCUUGUGUUUUAAAGAGUCGCUUGUAGUGCAUUUUUGCUCCUUGAUUCCUUGAAUAUUUAGAAUUGCAGACCGAAUAAGGAAUGCACGUUGGCGCCACCUGUACGUUUCAACUUACUACUUUUGUGUUGACACUAUACUCUAAAUAUAAUACACUGUACUGUAAUGUACUGUAAUAAUGUUUCUAAUUUGAAAAAUGGCGUUUAUUUGUACCGUAGAAUGCGUACUGUUGUUUUUAGUAUAUAAUUUCCGCUGUGGCCUGUGAGGGCCCCGCUACCCGAGCGCUCCUUACGAUUUUAAAACGGCGACGACAACGGCCAAAACAAACUCCUUCAAAUAAAUGGUAGUAAAGAUAAUUCGUCUAUAUUAUCAAUCGUAUGAAUUUAAUACAGUCUUAGAAGUUGAAGACAUGGGUUUUAUGGUUGGGAAGACUUCUGCUGAACCAAGUUUGAAGUUGCACUUGUUGCGGUUUGAAAUGCAGCCGUUGUAUCAAUUAAGACGUGAAAAUCUGUGAUUUGGCGUAAACAGAGCGAGGACAAUGUCUAAAUUAUUCAUAAAUUGUAAUUAUUCAAUUCUUUUCAAUGAUAAAUGAUCUAUUGUAUUGGUAGCCGUUGCCGUCCUAAAAUCGUAAGGUUUCUACUCUCUACUUUGUUAAACUGACCUGGACGGAGCUCGAAGUAGAGAAAAAAUAUGGCCUGCCAGUCUAAAAUUUUUCGGCAGGUAAAAUAAAUUUUAGCCUGCCAUUUUUAUUCAUUGAUACUGCCAAAAUGGCGAUGUCUCAAGACUCAAAUGAGUCGUAUUGUACUAAAAAUCAAUGUUUUCAUGAUAUAUAUUGCAUUUUUAUUGUUUUUAAACUUGUCUAUUUCACUACAGUAAACUUGGAAUUUACAUUUCAAAUAUAAACGUAUUUUAUAGUCUACUAAAUGAUUUAGUAUAUUAUAAGAGUUGUGGUAAUGCACCAGUCAAUGUAAAUCCCCCCCCCCCCCAAACCGGGGAGGGGCCAGGGAUUUAGUGGGGAAAGUGGUCAGUUUUGAUUGUAAAUAUGUCCCCGAUGAUGGGGACUUGGAUGACAUUUUCUCUUUCGGUAGACGAUACGGGGAUGAAAGCGGGGGAAUGGAUUCAGUGGUUAACAUACAUAUCCUGUGUUGCUGUUUUAGUUUUCUUUACAAGAAAAGUUUAAAUACAAUAGCCAAAUGAAUUUGAUUUUCUAUUGCCUAUCUAUGAAAUACCGGUAUAACAAAACUAUUUUCCUGGGGUUGAGAGACAUGUGGGGACAUUGAUUAAUUACCUUUCCCCGGGGGUGGGGACAAUUUUGCUCUUACUACCCCUCUAAGUCAAAAUCCCCACCCCUCCCCGGUUGGGGGGGCGGGGGUUUACAUUGACUGGUGCAUAAGCAAAUGAAAUGAAAUAUAUCCAAUAGAUAGAAGGGGGGCCGGGGGUUUACAUUGACUGGUGCAUAAGCAAAUGAAAUGAAAUGUAUCUAAUAGAUAGAAUCACCUGCAUUUUUUUACCUUGGCAGUUCAAAUUUGUUUUUGCCUGCCAUUUCUAAAAUAAUUGGCCUGCUUUUAGACAUUGGCAGACUGCUAUUUAGAGCCCUGCGUUGUUAAACAAUAAAUUGUGGAAUAUAUGAUGGCCGAUAUUAGGGCCUGUCUGCUGCAUGGAGAUGCAACUAUGUUACAAGAUGUGACUAUGUUACCCUCAAAACAAUUGCCUGUGCAAAAAAAUAUUGUUUACUAAAAAUUGUACAAAAUACACAUCGGGUGAAUAGUUUCAUGACACUGCGAAAACUAUAAAAUUUGAAAGCAAAUAGAUUGAAGAUAAAGGUUUUUUAUUUGUUAAUAUUUAUUUUAUUGUUUCAACGAUGUGAGUCCUUAUAUAUAUAUAGACAUGAAUACAAACUUUUGCCCAAAUUGUAUUAUAAUGUAUUAAAAAUAUAUUAUUAAUGCAUGGAUGGAGAAGUUCAUAGGGAGUCGAAGUAACUAACUCAAUUGUUUUUCUGACAUUGUUUUACUGACAUUGGUUCAUUGAGAAAUCUGGAGUUUUAUUAUCUUGCUGGAGCUAGUUUGUCUAAGGCAGCUAGGGUCUGAAAUUUAAAAUUUUUAUCAGUACCCCACUGGGAUACCAGGAUUCAACGUUAAUUAGUUACCAUAAGUUUUGGCAUGAACCACCACAGAAGUAUACAGUAGAUGUCUCUCGCUCAUUGUAUAACUAAAUAAGAACAUGCAGGUAACAAAAAAUAUUUAGAACAACAUAUUCACGUGAACAUAGCAAUAACACUCGGCCAGCUUUAGGUGAGCUAGCCGCAGGGUCUUGAUUUGCGUUUAUAUAUGGCAAAUUCCCAGCCCGGUCACCCAAGAUCUUUGGAUAGUUGAGAUCUCGCUUAGGCCGGCCAGCUCGAUUUCCAUAUAAAUGCAAAAUGAAAUUUAGCAGGAAAUAAUAACAAAGGUGGGAUCUCACCCCUAAACCAGACCAGCUCGGGCUGACUUGCCCGAUAUAAACAUGCAGCCCCUUAGACAGUAGCUCCAGCAAGAUUUAAAACUCCACAUUUUUCAAUGAACCAAUGUCGGUAAAACAAUUAGCCCUUUAAUGCACAUUAUAGAUUUGGAGUUAUAGUCACCGGACCCUAUUAAUUAACUUCUCCAUCUAUGCAUUUAUAAUAUAUUUUUAAUACAUUUAAUUACUGGUGAGCAAUAUUAAAUCAAUAUGGGCAAAAAUUUGUGUUGCCUGGGAAAUGCUCGAUCCCCACAAUCAUUCAUUGUCAUAUAUACAGGGGUUUCAGAAUGAUUUGAAGUAGGAGGUUCUACCAAAAAAGUAGCCGGCUGUGCCAACUGAUAGUUAAAAAAUCUCGCGGAGAGGGUGGCGUGCCCUCGCAUGAAAAUUUAAAAAAAAUUCGCCGCAAAUUAACAAUCAAAUAAUAUAGAAUACGUAAAAAGACAAAGUACAACUGUUAACAUGUUAGAUUUAGAUGUCAUUUGCAUUUAUACUUGUAAGUGACAUUAUGUACUUUAGUGUGCUACUAGUAGUUUAAUUUUUACAGCUGCAUGAACAGAAUGACAAUGUACACUACAGUAAUAGUAUUAAUUUGUGAGUCCGAAAUCAUUAAUCAAAUGAUGUUAUACUUGCAUGUAUGUACGUACGUAGAACUUCACUUCAUCACUUUUUCUUUCUUUUGCUAUGUUUGGUACUAUGUAUUAUAAUUUAUCUUAUUGAUCUUCCAAAAUAAGUGAUGUUUUGCUUGAAUUCAGGGCUUGAAUUUUAUCGCGGCAAUUGCCGUAGAGGGAGAACAAAAUACCGUGGAUCAUUGCGGCAACGACGGCAAUUUUUUGCCGUAUAGUAUAAUUUUUAAACUGUUCACUGUGCAUUACUAUUUUGAUACUUGAAUUCAGAUGUUGAUCAAAUCAUCCGUAAAUUACUCUUUUAAUCUCAGUUUUCUUCGAAAAAAAACACUAAAGAAAUACGUAAACAUGUUUCUAUAGCUUGUCAGCAAUCCAAAUUAACAAUAAAAUUAAAUUUUUAUUACAGUAAUUUGAAAAAACUGCCGCGUGGAAACUCUACGGCAAUUUUUAACACCAUUGCCGUCGAUUGAUUUCAGGGAAAUUCGAGGCCUCCUUGAAUUCCAAUUGGAACAUAACAAACAUCGUGUUGGUUCGCUUGUACCUUUGUAUAUAAAAUUUUUCCUGUGACCAGACGAAAAGUAGCCGGCGGUAAAAGUUCAAGUAGCCGGCGGAACUCCGCCGGCUUAUUCUGAAACCCCUGUAAUAUAUAGGACUCACAUUGUUGAAACAAUAAAAUAAAUUAAACAAAUAAAAAACCUUUCUCUUCGAUUUAUUUGCUUUCAAAUUUUAUACUUUUCGCGGUGUCAUGAAACUAUCACCCCCUCCUCCCGUCUGUGUGUUUUGUAGUUUGUACAAUUUUUAAAGCCCAUACAGCAACGCGACGCGAAUUUUCAGUUUUCAAUGAUAUUUAUAAUUUAACUUUAAUAUUUUGCAAUGUUUUUCAAAUAUUCGGCCGGGAACCACUUAAGCAAUUUUAGCUAUACGCGUAUUCAGUCUCAGAAACGUUUGUGCUGACAUGCAGCUGAGCUAACAAGCAACAUUCCAUGGAAAAGCUUCGUGUUUGUAUCAUUUGUACGGAAAUUUCCACGCAACAAACUCGCACUUCCAUGCAACACAGUUUCAUAGCACUGUCAUUUCCAAAGCACAGCUCAAUGUAGCACAGACCCCACAGUCACAGAUGAGGUAAAUACAGAUGUGAAUCUCCUGUGAAAUUGCUGAUUGUUUUGUGUCACACGGAAUUCUCACUUCCGGUGAGCGCUGGCAAGUGUCGUUCUGAAAUUUAAUAAGGAAAGAGAUAGGAAAACGCCGUUCGAAAGACGAAAAAUUGUUUUUUUAAAAAGUCUACGCUACCGACGGCUAUUUUUGGAAUUAAUUCUUCAAGAGUAACGGUAAGCGAUCACUUUUAUUGAUUUCUUUUUAUUAAAAGUGUUAAUAUAACAUUUUAUUUAGCAAAAGUUUGUUUUUUUCCCUAUCUACUUCUUAUUAAAAUCGUGAAAUACACUUGCUGGGAAUUUCAGAUGCUCAUGUAUAAAUAACAAAACAGCGAAUGAUAUAAAUGCCUCAAAACAUAACUCUCGCAUAAAAAAAACAUGAAUACUUCUAUAAUAUGUAUAGUUUUAUUCCUCUGCAUUAUCAAAAUUUAAUAAAAUAGUGAAUUAACACAAUUUUAAAGUUUAUUUAAUCCGUGUGACACAUUUUCACAGGAGAUUCACAUCUGUAUUACCUCAUCUGUGCCACAGUCGUAAUUCUACGCAAUUAACACAGUCGCAUUUCCGGCAUGCAGCAGAGGUGGCCCUUAUCGAUAUCGGCCACCGUAGGAAUAUUCUUCGUGCAUUCCUCUAUUUUUGCUCUAUGCCAUUUCGACUUUGGCUGUUUUGUACUACAGCUUUUGUAGGUUGAAAGUUGAAACUUUACACUUUCAAGUUAGUCAUAAGUAACAUUUAAAAGUAACAUUUGUCAUAGGUAACAUUUAAAAAGAUUUAAACUCUUCCGUGCGUAUGAAAAACGCGUGAAUGGUGAGCAGACUUUAGUUAGUUCGGGCAAGGCAACACGUUAGAAUAAGAUUUGUUUUAUUUUCCUUGAAAAAAUAAAUAAAUAUUUGGUUUGGGUGCCCUGUUCUUUCAUAAUACUGAUACACGAGUCGCUCGCGACCCAUCAAAGAAGCAGCUUAUUUUCGCUCGUAUAAAUUGUCCUAUAAUGUCAAUGUAGAUAUACAGCCAAUUCAAAAAAGAUUGUCCUUUGGCUUUGCAAACCUUAAACUCUGGCUUAAGCCUUAAACUCUAAGCGCGCAAAGCUUAAUGGGAGCACAAGUUUCAAGCUUAGCAGUUGAAUAUUACAGCUAUUUGUCAAUUGUUUUCGUAAGGAGAUAUUAGAAACCUUACGAUUUUAGGACGGCAACGCGACGACAACGGCCAAAAUAAACUCUUUCAAACAAAUGGUAGUAAAGAUAAUUCGUGGUAUAUUAUCAAUCGUAUGAAUUUAAUACAGUUUUAGAAGUUGAAGACAUGGGUUUUAUGGUUGGGAAGAGUUCUGCUGAAUCCAUCCAUGCAUGCAGUUUGAAUUGAACUGAGUUGCACUUAUUGCGGCUUGAAAUGCAGCCGUUGUAUCAAGACGUGGAAAUCUGUGAUUUGGCGUUGUGAACAGAGCGAGGACAAUGUCUAAAUUAUUCAUAAUAUUGUAAUUAUUCAAUUCUUUCAGGCCUUAAAAUAUCUUUUACAAAGCCGUCUGACAAAAUGUCCAGUGACGUUGAGUUUGGGUCGGACAUAUGUUCGAUGACCUUCAGUUCAGUUUUGACUCGGAAAUAAGUCUGAAUGACACAAAUGAAUAAACGGUAAAUGUUGUAAAGAUAUUAAAUAAUUUGUUUCUUUCAUACUUAUUUCCAGGCCAAAAUUAACUUGCUUGCCAGAACAGCAGUGUUAAAAAAGACUUCGACAACUUAAGCCCGUUUUCCACUUCACCAUUUCGGUCGCCGCCCCACGCUCGACUACGUUAAAACAACAAUUCCAGUUCACCUUUUAUACAAUGGUACUCUGAUUUUCCAUUUAACAUACAAGCCUCUAGUCCUGGGUUAUAGGGUACAUUUUGAUUUACGUCGGACAAAGCUACAGUUUGGUCGGACACCAGUUCACUUGGGUCGGACAAACAAUAAACCUCAGUUUCACUUUGGGUGGACAGAAUGUCCGGUGGUUUUCUCUCUACGUCGGACAGUUUCACGAAUGGGUCGGACAAUGUCCGUGACCGACCCAUAUUUUAAGACCUGUCUUUUCAAUGAUCGAUCUAUUGUAUUGGUAGCCGAUGCCGUCGCGUUGCCGUCCUAAAAUCGUAAGGUUCAGUACCGUAGCAAGCUCGAUAAUUAGGGGGGGGUCAUAAUAUUAAUAUAUUAUUAAUAUAUUCGUGUUCUGCGUUAUUAAUUUCUUUUGAAAUCGAUUGUUUUUAUGGUCUGUGAACACGAAUAUAUGAAUAUGAGCCCCCAUUAUCGAGCUUGCUACGGCACUGAGGUCUAUACCAUGUCUCUAAGAAAUGGGCCCCAUAUAUGAUUUCUAAACUGAUUAAAUCACUGUGAUGCUCCCAUUAUGCUUUCAAGCUUAGAGUCUACGGUUUAGAGUUUAAGGUUUGCAAAGGACAACCUUUUUUGAAUUAGCUGUAUACAUUUUAAUAUGAACUGGCCUUGAAUAGAGUUAUUCAGUCUACAUGUCAUCAACUUCCUUGACCAGAGGAUGAACAUAUUGAAGAAGACGACACUAUUAACAAUUUGAAAGAGAUCCUUGAUGCAAAGUCACCCACAGAGUUAAUUACUGCAAGUAGAGUUCUGGUCAGUCAAAUAUUCAGGCCUGAUGAUGUUUCUUGCAGCGUUCGUAACGUUGAUACCAUGAGCAUGGCAACUGAGAGAGCUGUGUCACACUAUAACAAUAUCAAGACACCUGAGAGAGCAUCUUUUAAGCCAGAAACAAUCAACUCAAUCAUGCACGCAAGUUUCGUUAAAUGGAAAAGGGAUUUCUGUAUUUUUGAUCCGAGACCUGCAGUUUAUUAAUUCCUAAAAAGAAAUGAUAGACGCAAACGAGGAACUUUAUCAGAAUCAGGAUUUUAUCAAGAAAUUUUUUAUGCGUGAAAAUGGAUUGCAUGGGGGUCAAACCUACCAUUAUAGGUCAAUUAGACAAGAUAUAUUGUGUUACUAUGCUAUAUAACUAUGUUACUAACUGUUGUAUUGGAAAGCAACCGAACGUUUGCUUAAAUAGAUUUAGAAACGAAUGGUUUUAACUCAAGUUAAUUGCAUGUCUGUCUUGCGCAAGGGCCCUAAUACACACUUUACCCCAGUAGUCAAAAUUCCUUAAAAAAUGCCCUGUUGUAUGCAUGGCAGGAUUUUACUGUGGUCAUAACAUCCGUUGAUAACAAAGACGCCUUUAGCAUGUCUCCCACAACCAAAUUCAAACGAUGGGCAGUACAAUGGAUGCAUGUAAACAAGCCAGUUCUACGACUCCUGUUAACCGACCAGACAUCACUGCUGGACUUCAGAGAUCAGGUCUUUCGUAACUGUUGAAAACUUGUAAGGUUAUCAAACUCUUAAAGGAUUUAAACAUACUUUGAUGCUGACUAUUUACAAUCUCUUAUUAAUAUUUUAUUAUCUAGUUUAAGCAAUGAGCGACGUCACAUAUACAACUGAACCUCCCAUUGGGUAAGUGUUUGCAAGUACUGUACACUAUCAAAUUAUAAAUACAGUGACACUUUUAAUAAAAUAAAGAGCUAAAUUUUUCUGUUUAUUUUCAGUGUUGAGUGUGAUCUGAAUACAACUUAUUAUCCUCACCUCCUUUUGAUACCUGCUGUAAGUUUUGGGUUAUUUAAUUUUUGUAUUAUUUAUAUUAUAAAUCAUUAGCCCCCUUGAAAUUUCUAAGCAUCGGUCUUUUUUUCAUCGGUCUGAAUUUCCAUAAUUGUUUUUGAAUGUUUUUUAAAGAUUUACCAUGUAUACUAGCUGUCAAUGUAAAAACUGAACUUUUACCACUACUGGUUAUAGAUUUCUCGUAUAGUAAAUUGGUAAAAACCAUGAUGUUUAAUUUUUACCCUUAUAAUGGUAGUUUUCUGGUAAAUAUUAAAUACUGAUUGUAUUGCAUUGUAUUGCAUUGCAUUGCAUUGCAUUGCAUUGCAUUGCAUUUGUAAUUUAUAUACCGUAACUAAUAUGGACGAUCGCUUUCAUGCAGGGGAUAAUUAUCACCAUAUUGUCAUUUUUACAACGAAGAAGUAGUUUUAAGAAAGAGGUUUGCGGAGGUCGACCUGGACUUGUUGUGUGAGUAUAUAGUAUACAUUAACAUAAACAUUCCUGUGACAAUGGACCAUUCCCCAAUUAACCAAAAUUUUGAACUCAACAAGUCUAUACAAUAAUUUCAUCACAGCUUCAAAGAGC